UACGGAGGAUCCAAGCGUUAUCCGGAAUCAUUGGGUGUAAAGGGUCCGUAGGCGGGUUAAUAAGUUAGAGGUGAAAGUUUGCAGCUCAACUGUAGAAUUGCCAUUGAUACUGUUAAACUUGAGUAAUUAUGAAGUGGUUAGAAUAUGUAGUGUAGCGGUGAAAUGCAUAGAUAUUACAUAGAAUACCGAUUGCGAAGGCAGAUCACUAAUAAUUUACUGACGCUGAUGGACGAAAGCUUAGGUAGCGAACAGG
rnacentral:misc_RNA from 1 species